AUCUACAGCCGGACCACCCUGAACAUGCCUGAUCUCAUCUGCUCUCAGAAGCUAAGCAGGGUCGGGCCUAGUUAGUACUUAGAUAGGAGACCACCUGGGAAUGCUGGGUGCUGAGGGAA
rnacentral:rRNA from 1 species